CACACACACACACACUCAAACCUCCCCCUCUCUCUCUGCAUCAGUGCACCAAAAGACACUCACAUGCUGUGAUUGAACACUGUGAUCACAAGGGGCGGGAACCAGGGGCCUUUCAAUUCAAGAGUAGAGAUUCAGUUAGAUCAUGACAUUGCAAUUCUGGGGUUCAUCAGAAUAUCAAUAUCGCUGGCUUUAAAAAAAAAAUUGCAGGCUGUUCACAUCUUCAUGUUAAAGUACAUCAAUUGGUUCAAUCUGUCAUUCACAAUUUGCCAAAAAAUAUAUUGCAAUUCUGAUUUAAGGUGACCCCACACCCCAUUUGUGGACUACCCCCUCCUGUGACCACUGUGUCUAGCUUUCUCCACCUUCAAAUGUACAUCGCUUAUGUCUGCUGUGUUUUAGUUCUGAGUGCCAGCCAAGCAUCUUUAGCUUGAGUGCCAUUUCUGCUUCUCGGGGAAGUCAGUGCUGCUGCUGCUGCCGUUGCUGCUUCGUUUCAUUCAGCCUUUAAGAACUCGUUUUUUCUCAAGUGCGUUCACUGCAUAACCGCCUUCUCCAUUACAAACACACACGUCUAGAUGUAUAUAUUGAUGUAUAUGGAAUCAUGCAGUAUUUCCAUGUCCGAGGUCCUACAGCUUUGCUCACUCUGCACCAUUCCCCGCAUGCCACAACUCGUGCCACGGUUUACCAAAAUGGGCUCCUGUGGUGAAGACGGACUAGAGAGUAGCUGUCAGUGCUACCAGGUUAGGGGCGCCAGAGUCCUCCUGGCCCUGUGGACGGCUAAGUCUUUAGGUCUCCUACGAUACAAAAUGGAAGUCUUUCGUUGUCCCACAGAUGUCGUAUGUUCGCUGUAAAACACUUCAGUCAACAGUUAGUAAACCUGUCAAAGUUGCAGCAAGAAGGCUUUUUUUUUUUUUUUUUGGUGCUGAAAAAAAAAAAAAAACAUCCUAGGAGAGCCUGUUGUCAGAGCAGUGCAUUAAACACUCCUUACUCCUCACACACUCUGAACUAGUGACAGGUUGGUUUUAAUGUGCAGGGGCACUCCACGGGGGUUAGUUCACAGGGGGGUGGCACUGCCGGGGCAAAGAGCACAGGCGAGGAGGACCGGGCACACCCCUGUGCCUAGGCCGUGCGACAGCAGCUGGCUGAUGCAGUGAUCUGGCUGGGGUGUGGCAGCGGGUUCGAGCCGAGCCAAGCCAAGCCAAACCCUUCCAGAUGCCUGAGGCAUGACGCCGGAACCCGGGAAGCCCUCGACUGAGUGCACGGGGGUUGGUGGGGCAGGGUGAGCAGCGCAGCCUUGUAUGGGAAUAUUGCGAAGUGUACUUGCUCUUGCUGUGCCAAUGAUGCGAUCCAGCCAGGUUCCCCUCUCUCAGGCCUCGAGCACCAGCUCAGUCGGACGGCUACGGCGGCCUCUCCUGACCCACGCGGCGGAUUGGAGGAGGCGUAGGAAGGGUGCGGUGCGGCGGGGAGACCUGCUGGAGCUCAGGGUUGGGUUUUCUCAUUUUUAACCACCAGGAAGGAGAAAAAACAAACAUCACUUGUGGGGAAAAAAAAAAAAUAUGACAAGAAAAUCUAAACAAAAAUGAAAACUUAAAUGAGAUCAUGCAAUGUCUGAUUUUACCAUUAAAACAAAAAAUUA
ensembl:lncRNA